AUCCUCUACUGAAGCGCGAAAUGUCGUCGUCGUUAUCGCCACCAUCCUCACAGGAGCAAAGGCUUGGACAACGGCCGAUGCGCUCCAAC
rnacentral:ribozyme from 1 species